rnacentral:rRNA from 1 species
GACGAACGCUGGCGGCGUGCUUAACACAUGCAAGUCGAACGAAGUGGCGAACGGGUGAGUAACGCGUAAUCAACCUUCCCUUCAGAGGGGGACAACAGUUGGAACCGAAUGCUAAUACCGCAUACUGAAGGAGGGGCUUGUGUCUGAUUAGGUAGUGGGAGGGGUAACGACGCACCAAGGCGAUGAUCAGUAGCCGGUCUGAGAGGAUGAACGGCAACAUUGGGAAUGAUACACGGCCCAGACUCCUACGGGAGGCAGGAGUGGGGAAUUUUCCGCAAAGUACGAAAGUCGCACGGAGCAACGCCGCGUGAGGGAUGACGGCCUUCGGGUUGUAAAGCUCUGUUAAUCGGGACGCGGUACCGGAAUAGAAAGCCACGGCUAACUACGUGCCAGCCGCCGCGGUAAUAC